rnacentral:ncRNA from 1 species
ACAAUGAUACUUCUGUCCAGUCCCAGUGCCCCAUUGGGGGAUCACGCAAGGAGGGCAGCCGGGAGAGAUCCUCGCGGGGGUGAGAGUCCCAUGA